rnacentral:rRNA from 1 species
ACGACUCUCGGCAACGGAUAUCUCGGCUCUCGCAUCGAUGAAGAACGUAGCGAAAUGCGAUACCUGGUGUGAAUUGCAGAAUCCCGCGAACCAUCGAGUCUUUGAACGCAAGUUGCGCCCGAGGCCACUCGGCCGAGGGCACGCCUGCCUGGGCGUCAUGC